rnacentral:rRNA from 1 species
GUAGUCAUAUGCUUGUCUCAAAGAUUAAGCCAUGCAUGUCUAAGUAUAAGCAAUCUAUACUGUGAAACUGCGAAUGGCUCAUUAAAUCAGUUAUCGUUUAUUUGAUAGUACCUUACUACAUGGAUACCUGUGGUAAUUCUAGAGCUAAUACAUGCUAAAAACUCUCGACUUCGGAAGGAGGUGUAUUUAUUAGAUAAAAAACCAAUGCCCUUCGGGGCUCCUUGGUGAUUCAUAAUAACUUAACGAAUCGCAUGGCCUUGCGCCGGCGAUGGUUCAUUCAAAUUUCUGCCCUAUCAACUUUCGAUGGUAGGAUAGUGGCCUACCAUGGUGGCAACGGGUAACGGGGAAUUAGGGUUCGAUUCCGGAGAGGGAGCCUGAGAAACGGCUACCACAUCCAAGGAAGGCAGCAGGCGCGCAAAUUACCCAAUCCCGACACGGGGAGGUAGUGACAAUAAAUACUGAUACGGGGCUCUUUUGGGUCUCGUAAUUGGAAUGAGUACAAUCUAAAUCCCUUAACGAGGAACAAUUGGAGGGCAAGUCUGGUGCCAGCAGGC